ensembl:snRNA U6 U6 spliceosomal RNA
AUGCUCGCUUCAGCAGCACAUACCCUAAAAUUGGAACAAUACAGAGGUUAGCAUGGCCUUUGCACUAGGAUGACAGUAAAUCCGAUAGUAUGGCUAUCUACACAU